CUACGUAGAAUUUAGUUACUUUUUAACUAAAUUUGUUUGUAGAAAUAAUUUUUUAGUAAUUAAAGUGGUGUUAAAAAGGUAUAAACUUGCAAUGCUUUUUUUUGUAAGUUGGAAUUAAUUAAUUUUUGUUCAAAAUGUUUUGUAGUUGUAUACAUUUUUUGUAUACAAUGAGGUAUCGCAAUAUUUUAACAAUUGUAUCAACAAUUGAAAAAUUACGAGUAGAAAUAAUUUCAUAUAGAGUAAUUAACCAUGGUAAUAAUUUGGAGAUAUUCUUGAAAUUAUAUCUUGGGGUUACUAGAAAUUAUUUCGAUUGGAUAAUAUUUCAAUUUAUGAAGUUUGUGAUAUAGGUAGGUAUGAGAAGAAAGUGAUUUAAAGUGAUACUUAAUAAUUAAUUGGCUGUGCUUCACUUGUUAACAUUUAUUUUUGUUAACAAUUUGAAUUGCCGAUUAUUUAUAAAUUUUAAAGUUUAAAAAUAACCUUUUAAUUAAAUUUUCGGGUUCAGCUCGUUUAUGGCCAUUAUCAGGCAACUUCAUAUUUAUGUGGUUCCUGAUGAUGAUUGUAAAUAAUUGAAACCGGUGACGUCCAUGAAAAAUACGUAGUUUUUAAAUUUUUAUUGGUAUUCGUCAUAGAUCAUAUUGUUUGUUGUAAGCAAUUUGAAACGUGGCAAAAAUUCAAGAAGAUGAAGUCAACGGUUUUGAGUAAGUUAAAAAAGAGUUUUUUGGUACAUAUUUUAUGGUUGCGUAUUAUCAUAUUUAUCUCAAUAUGAAGUUGUGGUGAAUAUGUGAAAUGUUGCAAUUAUAAUUUAUCUACCAUCUUAAUAAUUUCUUAACUAGUUGAUAUAGAGUGGGUAAUAUGCAACAUUCGCACGAUUAACUUCUGGCCCUCCCGCCAGGUUAAUACGUAUUUUGAUGCAUAUUGCACACUCUACUCUAACUAGUUUUGAGUUUAUUAAUGGUGUAUAUGAGUUAGUGAGCAAUGUAUAUAAAGCACAAGCUUAAUUGGUCAGGAUGAGUCCUGCUUGUAUGAGUUGGUUUUUACAAAUGCCUUGCAUUUUUGAAACUGGCAAUGUAGACAUGUUUUGGGUGGGGUUGGUCUAUGAUUAGCCUUCUCCACUUAAAUUGUGAUUUGGCUGUUUCGGCUUAUGCAGGCGAUGUUUGAAAAAGGCACCUUUAUGAGUCUUCUUUCCUCCAAUAAAAGAUGCGCUUUAUUAUUUAUUGUACUAUUCAACUGCAUUAUUAAUAAGUGUUGUGUUAAAGCAAGAUAUUUUAUAGAUGCAUAUUAUAUUUAUUGCAACGUGAUGUUGUAGUGAAUAUGUGAAAUAUUGCAAUUAUAACUUAUCUUGCAUUAAUGUGUUAAGGUGUUAAUUUUGGAAAAAGUAUUGGUUGUAAGUAUUUUCUUUACAGGUUACUCAUCACAGAUUUUACAACAACAUAAAUGUUCCUAAAAUUAAUUUGUAGUUAAAUUUGUUUGCAAUAUUUUUUGUAAAUAAAAUUUUCGCUUAUAAUUAAUUUUAGGGAAAAAAGUGAUUUAUGCUUAUUUCUGUAGCAGCUUUGAAGCUGUGAGGUAUUUUUUUGGUAAGAAAUCUAAAAAAGUUUAUUUUUAAAUCUUUUUUAAGAUUGUUGCUAUUUUUAAUGUUAUGGCGUGAUCGGUGCUAAAUGUUUGUGUGAAUUUUAACUAAGCCAAUACUUAAAAAUUUGGCAUCUAAAUUUUUCCACAUAAAGAUCACAUCUAAUCAAAUUAUUGUGAUCUUUGUUCUGGUUGGAUUUAAAUGCCAUUUUUGAGAUGAUUAAUGUUUAAUUUAUGAUAAGUCUAUUAUAUCAAAGAAUCAUUUUAAUUAUUAAUGAUACGAUUAUCAUUAUUUUUUAAACGAUUCCUUGACCAAUUAUUUUUAUCACACUUUAAGCAUUAUCUCUUAAAACAAGUUUGUCUUAUUGAAUGUAUGUUUUUGUAUGGGCGAUUUUGUUUUCAGUUUUUCCCUAUAGAUAUCUUCGUAGCGGAUGAGACUCUUACUUUAGAGCGGCACCAAUGUUAGUGCUGUGUUGCAAAAUUUAUGUGGAGUGUGUUAAUAAAAACGUUAAUUAAAAAAUUAAUCAAAUUUGUAAUAAAUAAUAAUCUAUAAUUGUAACUUUUCUUUGAGUGCAACUUAAAUAUGUUAAAAAAAUCCAAAAUUGUUUUUAACGAAAAUAGUUUUUCUGUAUUUGAAAAAGGUAAUACUGCGCAGUACUUUUUUCGAAAUUGGGAUAUUAUUCUUCGUUAAAAAUUGAGGUUAUUUAGUAAGCAGGCUAAUAAUUUUUUUAUGAAAAAUAAUUUGUCUGGGUGGAGGUGGGCAUAACAAAAAAUUAGAUUAAGCUUUUUUUUUAAAAAUAAACCAAAAAAAGAGUAAAUGAAUAAGAGGUAGUUUGUAAAAUUCGUAUCAAGAAGGACAGGUUUGCAGCCAUUGUGGAAAACGCUUCAAGUACAGGUCCGGACUCUACCGCCAUGCUCUCUACUGCAUCGAAUGAUGUCGAGACGACCCUUUCUAAAGAGGUUUCCGAAGAUUUAUAAUGAGAAAGAAUCUUCAUUUUCGCUAUCCACCUUCAGUGAUGAUCUGCCGAAGAAUCCAUUUAUCAAUUUUUGUACAUCAAAAUUCUAUGAAUAAACAUUUCAAUCUGACUUGUAAAUUA
rnacentral:lncRNA from 1 species